AGGGUGAACGCUGGCGGCGUGCUUAAGACAUGCAAGUCGAACGAGGUCUUCGGGCCUAGUGGCGCACGGGUGAGUAACGCGUAACUGACCUACCUCCAAGUUCAGCAUAACGUCUCGAAAGAGACGCUAAUUCUGAAUGUGAUCCAGAAUCGUGUUUCUGUGAUUAAAGAAUUUCGCUUGGAGAUGGGGUUGCGUGCCAUCAGCUAGUUGGUGGGGUAAAGGCCUACCAAGGCGACGACGGC
rnacentral:rRNA from 1 species